rnacentral:rRNA from 1 species
UUGAACGCUGGCGGCAUGCCUAACACAUGCAAGUCGAACGGGUGUAGCAAUACAUCAGUGGCAGACGGGUGAGUAACACGUGGGAACCUUCCUAGGGGUACGGAACAACUCAGGGAAACUUGAGCUAAUACCGUAUACGUCCGUGAGGAGAAAGAUUUAUCGCCCUUAGACGGGCCCGCGUCGGAUUAGCUAGUUGGUGGGGUAACGGCCUACCAAGGCGACGAUCCGUAGCUGAUCUGAGAGGAUGAUCAGCCACACUGGGACUGAGACACGGCCCAGACUCCUACGGGAGGCAGCAGUGGGGAAUCUUGGACAAUGGGCGCAAGCCUGAUCCAGCCAUGCCGCGUGAGUGAAGAAGGCCUUAGGGUUGUAAAGCUCUUUUACCAGGGACGAUAAUGACGGUACCUGGAGAAUAAGCCCCGGCAAACUUCGU